rnacentral:rRNA from 1 species
CCUACGGGAGGCAGCAGUGGGGAAUAUUGCACAAUGGGGGAAACCCUGAUGCAGCGACGCCGCGUGAGCGAUGAAGUAUUUCGGUAUGUAAAGCUCUAUCAGCAGGGAAGAAAAUGACGGUACCUGACUAAGAAGCCCCGGCUAACUACGUGCCAGCAGCCGCGGUAAUACGUAGGGGGCAAGCGUUAUCCGGAUUUACUGGGUGUAAAGGGAGCGUAGACGGCCCGGCAAGCCAGGUGUGAAAGGCCGGGGCUCAACCCCGGGCCUGCAUUUGAAACUGUAAGGCUAGAGUGCAGGAGAGGCAAGCGGAAUUCCUAGUGUAGCGGUGAAAUGCGUAGAUAUUAGGAGGAACACCAGUGGCGAAGGCGGCCUGCUGGACAAUGACUGACGUUGAGGCUCGAAAGCGUGGGGAGCAAACAGGAUUAGAUACCCCAGUAGUC